rnacentral:tRNA from 1 species
UGGGCCCGUGGCCUAGCAUGGAUAUGGCGCCGGCCUGCGGAGCCGGAGGUCGAGGGUUCGAGUCCCUCCGGGCCCAA